UACGUAGGUGGCAAGCGUUGUCCGGAUUUACUGGGCGUAAAGCGCACGUAGGCGGCUUUGUAAGUUAGAGGUGAAAGCCCGGGGCUCAACUCCGGAAUUGCCUUUAAGACUGCAUCGCUUGAAUCCAGGAGAGGUGAGUGGAAUUCCGAGUGUAGAGGUGAAAUUCGUAGAUAUUGGGAGGAACACCAGUGGCGAAGGCGGCUCACUGGACCGGUACUGACGCUGAUGCGCGAAAGCGUGGGGAGCAAACGGG
rnacentral:rRNA from 1 species